rnacentral:lncRNA from 1 species
ACCACUGAACCAUGAAAAUGAGGUCACGGUCAGAUGACAUCUGCUCGCUAGACAUGAACACCUUACCAUCAUUCCAUACAACAAAUAUAGUAGACCUAUUGCAUAUAGUAUGAGAAAAACAGACCAAAACACAAAAAUUUAAUUAUAACCACUGAACCAUGAAAAUGAGGUCAAGGUCAGAUGACACCUGCCAGUUGGACAUGUACACCUUACAGUCCUUCCAUACACCGAAUAUACUAGCCCUAUUGCUUAUAGUAUCUGAGAUAUGGACUUGACCACCAAAACUUAACCUUGAUCACUGAUCAAUGAAAUGAGGUCGAGGUCAAGUGAAAACUGUCUGACAGACAUGAGGACCUUGCAAGGUACGCACAUACCAAAUAUAGUUAUCCUAUUACUUA